GAUGAAGAACGUAGCGAAAUGCGAUAAGUAGUGUGAAUUGCAGAAUUCCGUGAAUCAUCGAAUCUUUGAACGCACAUUGCGCCUUCUGGUAUUCCGGAAGGCAUGCCUGUUCGAGAGUCAUUAACAACCGUUUCGAUCCCUUUCUUUCAGAAAUUACAAAGAGGAAAAGGGUUUGGUUAUGGUGGAGGAGGGAAAGGGAGCGUUUAGCCUGUAAAAAAAGAGGCUGUGUUCCGCCUCCCCCCCAAAAUUGUACAGGCGGUCGUGUGCGCCCACGCAUCGAGGUGUUGUAAAAGCUGCCACGGCACUUUUCACCUGUGCAGUGCGAGAUUGGCCAGCCGGUUUAAAAACCCCUCCAAACAAUCACAGGUUGACCUCGGAUCAGGUAGGGAUACCCGCUGAACUUAAGCAUAUCAAUAAGCGGAGGA
rnacentral:misc_RNA from 1 species